rnacentral:rRNA from 1 species
GUUUGGGGGCGCGGCUUACCAUGCAGUCGAGCGGGGGAGGUAGCUUGUGUACCGGACCUAGCGGCGGACGGGUGAGUAAUGCUUAGGAAUCUGCCUAUUAGUGGGGGACAACAUCUCGAAAGGGAUGCUAAUACCGCAUACGUCCUACGGGAGAAAGCAGGGGAUCUUCGGACCUUGCGCUAAUAGAUGAGCCUAAGUCGGAUUAGCUAGUUGGUGGGGUAAAGGCCUACCGAGGCGACGAUCUGUAGCGGGUCUGAGAGGAUGAUCCGCCACACUGGGACUGAGACACGGCCCAGACUCCUACGGGAGGCAGCAGUGGGGAAUAUUGGACAAUGGGGGGAACCCUGAUCCAGCCAUGCCGCGUGUGUGAAGAAGGCCUUAUGGUUGUAAAGCACUUUAAGCGAGGAGGAGGCUACUUUAGUUAAUACCUAGAGAUAGUGGACGUUACUCGCAGAAUAAGCACCGGCUAACUCUGUGCCAGCAGCCGCGGUAAUACAGAGGGUGCGAGCGUUAAUCGGAUUUACUGGGCGUAAAGCGUGCGUAGGCGGCUUAUUAAGUCGGAUGUGAAAUCCCCGAGCUUAACUUGGGAAUUGCAUUCGAUACUGGUGAGCUAGAGUAUGGGAGAGGAUGGUAGAAUUCCAGGUGUAGCGGUGAAAUGCGUAGAGAUCUGGAGGAAUACCGAUGGCGAAGGCAGCCAUCUGGCCUAAUACUGACGCUGAGGUACGAAAGCAUGGGGAGCAAACAGGAUUAGAUACCCUGGUAGUCCAUGCCGUAAACGAUGUCUACUAGCCGUUGGGGCCUUUGAGGCUUUAGUGGCGCAGCUAACGCGAUAAGUAGACCGCCUGGGGAGUACGGUCGCAAGACUAAAACUCAAAUGAAUUGACGGGGGCCCGCACAAGCGGUGGAGCAUGUGGUUUAAUUCGAUGCAACGCUCAGAACCUUACCUGGACUUGACAUACUAGAAACUUUCCAGAGAUGGAUUGGUGCCUUCGGGUAAUCUAGAUACAGUGCUGCAUGGCCUGUCGUCAGCUCGUGUCGUGAGAUGUUGGGUGAGGUCCCUGCACUAGCGCCACCCCAUUUUGCGUACUGCAGCCAUUACCUGAUCGUCACUUGAAUGAUACCUGCAGUUACAAAGCCUGAAGACGGACCGGGAACGAACGGUUCGGAGGUCAGUA